GGGGCAAAUGCAUCUACACCGCUCGUUUCCACCGCAACAGUUAGCUUUUCACCCCCGCGUCAAUGACAGCCGCUGGAUUCGGUAAUUUUUUGUUUACCCGCCGCAGCUUGUUCACAGUCUAUGACGCGUGGGCCUGUUUUCUUGUGGGACCGGUGAUCAGAGGCAGCAGCGAGGGCUCGUCUGCGUCCCUCGUUUCAGUUGUUGCUCCGUGGAAAGCGGUGAAAACCCUAGACCCGGAUCGGUCUCUCCUCCCCCAAUCCCCGGCUCUCUCUCUUCCACAUCCUCUCUUCCUACGGGAGCCCCCGGAGGUGGCGGCGGCCAGAAUGGAAGGGGCCGGACCUCACCGCUCCUCUUCCGUGCGCUGGAGAGAAGCACCGAGGGCGCCGCCGCCUCGUGCCUCGCAUAAGGAGGCAGCGCGGACACGGCCGCCGCCGCUGGUAGAGCGCCAUGGUCGCCGCCGGUCGCGGUCGUCGCCGUGCCAAGAGCAUGAGAGCACACGGAGUCGGGCGGCGACGCAGAGAGCGGUGGCGACGCGCAGCUUUGAGAAGCUCAACCACAGCCGGCGGAGCUCGAGAUCUCCGGUCAAGGCGCCUCCCCCGCCUCGUCAUCCCCUGCCUCUGCAAUCGACGAGGACGAUCCGCGAAGAAGCAGCGAGCGGCGCUCCUCCGCCUCCUCGAGCCCAGGAGUUGCGUGGUGAGGCUAGCCGCGCGAAGAAGCAGCGAGGAGGAGGGAGCCGGAGCUGCGCCAGCCGCCCCGCGCCCCCGCCCUCAUAUCCACCCUAUGCCACAGCUCUCACGCCCCGUCGUCAUCCAUUGGGAAGCGGUGCAGGAUUGGCUUCCCCAAGACGUUCUUCAGGCUUGUGGUAGGGCUUGGUGGCCAAGCAAGGUGGCGUCACUGCCUGUAGGUCUCCAGCAGGCCAUAUGGCCAUUGGGGAAGGUGUGGAGGACAGUGGGUUGCUUGUUGGAGAGGAUCAUUUCUGUUGGAGAGGAUCGACGAGGAGAUGCCGGGGAAGAUUUGCUUCGUCUCCAGGUCAAGGGAGAGAUGGAAGGCAACCAUAUCUAAAUUUGUUGUGUUUUUCUGAAUUUUCUUCGUGGGAUUUCAGUUGCAGCGAGCAAGAAAAGGAUCUCUGCGAGGCGGAUCAUAUUAAGUGUUGUAAGAUCGAGACCAUACUGAUGAAAUGGUGAUUGUAGGAGAAAUACUCGAAUUGGCUCAUGAAGAGAAUGAAGGAGGAGGGGUGUGAGUGGUAUAUAGCAGAACUUUCGCUCCACUCCGGUCUGAUCGUCUACGCCGGCCGGACGACGGCCAGGAGGUGCCCGCCUGCUUCCUAGAAUCCGCGAGGAAGCUGGAGCUUCCGGUUCACUUUUGCUACAGACCUAGGAUGGAGAUGAGGCUGACCUUCUCGGGAAGACUGGCGCUAACUAGAGCAACGUUGGCAUGUGCCGGCACCUCCACCGUAGUUCCACAAACGUCUCUGGACCUGGUCGCCUCCCAGUCUUUUCCUCGGGUCAGCAUGAUUCCUUGCCCUCGCCAAAAAACUGUAUGGUUUUGUUCAUUUGUUUUAUAGGCCACAGAUUGUCGUGAGUUCGCCUGAAGGAUUAUCUGGCCAUGUCUAUGGGAGGCCCAAGAGGCGAGGGUGAUGACAAGGCCAUAUUUAUGUUCUGGAUAGGGGUCACAACCAUUGCCGGGGAAAAGUCAACGAGAAGUGGAGACAUGCAUGAUCCAAGUGAUGAUGCAUGAAUGUUUACUAAUGCUGAAAUUUGCUAUAGCAGCAGUAGAUUGACAGAGAAAACCAAGCAAUGCUGGAGAUUCAGCUCCAACCUGAUGGACUGAUAUCAGGAUGAAGCUGGUUUUCCUCUAGGUUUUAGCAAUGGUGUCAACCUCCAUUGAGUCGUUGCCGACCUCCACCGAGCAGUCGCUGCUUCUCCUAGGGCCCCUGUCUCGGUCCUCUCCAACAAGGGUAUAUAUCAAGAAGGUUGUUGGUGAAAGGGGCGAGUUCUGUAGACGAGUGCACCAUGGGAUGAAGGAGAUAAACCUAUUAGCCUGCUACGAGGUGAACGAAAGCUGCUUGGCACUCUCUGCUCAUUUUAUAGCCUACCAGGAUGCUCUUAAGCAUGUAUUCGUGAGUAGAGUGAUGGAUGUCAAGGACUUUCAUGUAUGGAUUCGGCUUUCGUAUGUCUGUGCUUCUAAUGGUCUGGUACUCAUGGACGAGUUGUUGCAACUGUUACCUGCGGUUGAAAUUGUUGAUCUUAGUCGGAACCAGUUUGCAAAUGUGGAUAAUCUAUGGAAAUGUACAAAGAUGCAAAAUCUGGACCUUGGAUUAAUCAUUUGCAUUCUGUUUCAUCCCUGAGUGAGGAUUUCUGAUGAAGGGUUGUGUUAGUUGAGGAUCCUUUAUUUUGUUGUUCAGGUGUGCCUUCGAGUCCAUCAGGUGUGCCCAGCAGAUGCUUGUAAAAGCAGGAGGGGAAACACUGGUCGCUGGAGCGGCCAGUGAACCUCUAUCGACCUCUGUUCUAUGGAUUGAAGAUGGGGCUUCUACCAUCUAUGAGAAGGGCUCUAAAUGUGUCUCUACAGGCCUUCUGCCGUUCAUUUGUCCUCAUUUUUAUUCUUCCUCGGCAAUUCAGAAUUGGAGGAUCCAUUGGAAGCCAAAUUAUCACCCAAAUCAGUAUUUUUAUGGUGACCACAGUCGUUUCCUUCUGUUGGGAAAUAAGCCAUCAUUUGUUCAGCGUGUGCACACAAGAAGGUGCAGUUUUACUCCACCUCGGAACACUUGCCGAUGCAGUAUCCUGUCUUCCAAGAUUAGUGUGCAGUACCUGAAUAUAACAUAGAACCUUGACGUCAGGGUGCCUUCUUCGAGGAAUCUGGUGAAACUUACAAAAGAAUUAUGAUAGCCUGUUUGAAGCCGCUUGAGGACGCCCUCCAAAUGUUGCUGGAGCGCUCGAAGUUGUUUGGCGCCCCCACAGCUUGUCCCUUGUGGUCGACACAAAUGCAAAAGGAGAGUCAUAAAUUUGUGGUCAAGCAGCAGGAGCCACGGUGUAGGGAGGUGAUGACCUCAAGCAGCAGGAGCCACGGUGGACGUCGGGUGGUGAGGAGGAGAGGGAAGAAUAAAGAAGGGGCCAUCAGAUGGGUGCCGCCUAUUGCGUUGACGCUCUUCUCUCCCAAGGAAUUCGCCGUCACGGUUGCUUUGCUGAUGGAGUUCCUGGUGGCUGGUCCGUAUGGUUGAGAGUUCGGCUAGCAGGUAGACUCCUACAAUAAAGGCGACAACGGCCAGCUGUUGCACCUACCUUGUCGACUUCGAUGGCUUCGAUGGUCUUGCCAACAUAUUGCAAUGAUGUACAAGCCCUCCCUUUGCACGUCUUAGGAUUGGUUACUGGAUGCAUGACACACUGCGGAGAAUUAUGCAAGAGAGCAGUGGUGCUGGGAACAAACGUUUUAUUUUGGAAGAGCGACUGUUGGGAAACCACCCAUGAACAUGCUACACUAUUACCAUCCUCGACACUGCUAUAGGAUUGACCUUGUGAAGGCACCAAGGAGUGAUGAUCAUCCUCAUGCGCUGAGAAUAUGUUGCUGCUACCGGCUUCUCCAUGUACUGCAAUAGAUAUUGUGCUAGUGUUAGGUAAAUCUUGUGGCCAGCAGCGGAUGGUCGGAUAGCUGUGGCUGAUGGUGUGGAUGGCGUAGCGGAGGAUUAGAUGGGGUGGAGGGCAUGGAGGGAGGUGUAGCACAUCAAGGAGGGGUAGGGACAUAUGUCAAGAGGAAGAGACUGGACUGUUAGCGCAAAUCGGGAUGGGAUGAACGGUAUUAGCUGAAAAUAG